GACGACGCGGGCGGCGUGCUUAACACAUGCAAGUCGACCGGUGAAGGGACCAGCUUGCUGUUUCUGGAUGAGUGGCGAACGGGUGAGUAACACGUGAGUAACCUGCCCCCUUUUCUGGAUAACCGCAUGAAAGUGUGGCUAAUACGGGAUAUUCUGGGUCUGUCGCAUGGCGGGCCCGGGAAAGAUAUUGUUUCGGUGGGGGAUGGGCUCGCGGCCUAUCAGCUUGUUGGUGGGGUGAUGGCCUACCAAGGCGGUGACGGGUAGCCGGCCUGAGAGGGUGGACGGUCACACUGGGACUGAGACACGGCCCAGACUCCUACGGGAGGCAGCAGUGGGGAAUAUUGCACAAUGGGCGCAAGCCUGAUGCAGCGACGCCGCGUGAGGGAUGGAGGCCUUCGGGUUGUAAACCUCUUUCGCCAGUGAAGCAGGCCUGCUCCUUGUGGGUGGGUUGACG
rnacentral:rRNA from 1 species